rnacentral:rRNA from 1 species
GACGAACGCUGGCGGCGUGCCUAAUACAUGCAAGUAGAACGCUGAAGGAGGAGCUUGCUUCUCUGGAUGAGUUGCGAACGGGUGAGUAACGCGUAGGUAACCUGCCUGGUAGCGGGGGAUAACUAUUGGAAACGAUAGCUAAUACCGCAUAAUAGUAGAUGUUGCAUGACAUUUGCUUAAAAGUUGCAAUUGCAUCACUACCAGAUGGACCUGCGUUGUAUUAGCUAGUUGGUGAGGUAACGGCUCACCAAGGCAACGAUACAUAGCCGACCUGAGAGGGGGAUCGGCCACACUGGGACUGAGACACGGCCCAGACUCCUACGGGAGGCAGCAGUAGGGAAUCUUCGGCAAUGGACGGAAGUCUGACCGAGCAACGCCGCGUGAGUGAAGAAGGUUUUCGGAUCGUAAAGCUCUGUUGUAAGAGAAGAACGAGUGUGAGAGUGGAAAGUUCACACUGUGACGGUAUCUUACCAGAAAGGGACGGCUAACUACGUG